GCAACUCGUUGCUAAGGAAGCGUAUCCAGGUCGGAGCUUGGGCAAAGGCUGGGGCAAGAGGGGCGCCAGAGUCCAGCCGCGCAGGACGGAAAACCGUGGCCCGCCCCCUGCCGGCGGUGGUGCCCAACUCUCUCCCCUGCCUGUAAAACCCGAUCGCAAUGGUUGCUUGAAUAAAGUCUUCUUUACUGUCUUUAACAAAGAGUUAUCCAAAUUCAGAAGAUCACGUUAUUCUAAAAGUCUGUGGGACCUGGGGGCUAGAAACCAAUGUCUUCUGGGUUGCUGAGAAAAUUGCUUUUGAGGAAAGAUGUAGAAGCUGGUAGCUGCACCAGAAGAGAAUGUCUGAGCUCACACCCCACCUACAGGCCCACAUGAUUUGUCUUCUAUAUGGAUUGUGUCUUUAUCAGGCAAACAUUUAAAUUUAUAAUCUUAGAAAGCAAUUGGAUUUGAAACAAAAUCAAGUUCAAAACAAAACAAAACAAAGAACGUGGUACCAUAUGACAAAAAGUGAGUCAUAUGUUCUCUGAGACAAAUAAACCGCAUUGCUUUUAUCUGAUUUCUUUGCUUUAAUUUCUUAUUUUCCCAUCCUGAAGUUUUCAAGAAGCCAAGCCAUACUUUAGUACCUUAAAUUUAUUUUUCAUAUGCCUAGUAACAGAAUGAAAAACGGGCAGAACUAAGAAACAUUAAAAUUACAUAAAAUUAAGUUAAAAGUAUAUAAAUUAUAAUUGGAGAUGUUACCAGCUCAUACUCAGUAAUUGAUAAAGUAGAUAAAAUAUUUGUUAAGGAUAUAGAGAACUUGAAAAACAUUUUGUCAAUCAAAUUAGCAUAAUUGAUAAUUAUAAAACAACACCUAAAAUAUAUAUUCACUGCCCACUUGUAAAGGAAGCAGACAUUGAAGGCUGAUUAUUUAAAUAUGCAGUAGUACGAGUAGAGCUACAGAUAUUGUGGAAGAUUAAAUUGACUCUUUGGUGACUUCAAAAAUUACAUGGAGAAAGUUAUUCUUUUUCUUUCUACUGUGAAUCUGUAAUCAUGAUACAUUAGGUUCUAGUCAGUUAAGCUCUCAUUGAUUUUUGAACUUACUUGUUCACAUUUAAAAAGUUUAUUGGUACAUUUUCAGAUAUGUCAUCUAAAAAUUAGUACUUUAUAACCAUUUCCCAAGAUUACUAGAAAAGUUUAUAUGAUUAUGUGAUAUUUUUAUACUAAUUUUAUUGGGAACAUGGGAUUAGAGAUAAAGAAAUGUGAUCUUAUAGUAGCAUUUCAACCACUUAAGUACUCUGAGAUAAGAUAGUUACAUUCCUCUUGAUUACUUAUUUAUUUAUCUAUUUAUUUACUUUUGGUAGAUGAGGUAGAGGGAGCCUCUCUGAAUGACCAGAGCAAUAACAUAAAAUUUUCUAUGGAGUGACUUAUAAAACCAGGAAGCUAAUUCUCUUUCAUUCAGCAAGAAUGAAGGGAGUGUGUGCACUUCAUGCUGGGUACCGAUUUCCAGACUUUGAGAUUCAACUGGCUGGUGAUUUUCCAAAAGCAAAUUUGAAAGCCAAUGUAAGGUUGCCAAUUUUCUUUUUUGUUUUUUUUAAGUACGUAAAACAAAUACCACAUUUUCUCUGGUCAUCAUUUCACAUAAGAAAAAACAUUUUACACUGAAAGAAGUGGGUAGCAUAAAAUUUGAGAAUGAAGAACAAUACUUUAAACUGAAGAAUAGGGCUUAUGAAAAGCCCACAGUAUAUUACAAUAGACUUGUAAAUGUCCUUAUAGAUUGGACGUAUUGUUGCCAAACUCUGUCCCAGACCUGAUACACAGGCGGGACCACCUGAAUAUGAAUCCUGUUUCCAUGGUAUUUGCAACCUUUCCACACUGGAAUGUCAGAGAGCUGGAAGGUGUGUGUGUUUGUGUGUGUGUGUGUGUGUGUGUGUAUGUGUGUGUACAUGUUGAGGACAAAGUAUCUUUGGGUGUCUUUUUUCAGCCUAAGCCAGUUUGUUUCAGUGUAUCAUCUCUCGUUUUAUGCCCUCUGAAAGAAUAUAGAGUUAGAUUUGGGAGAAAAUAUUUUUUUAGGUUUAUUUACUUAUGUUGAGAAAAC